AUUGAACGCUGGCGGCAGGCCUAACACAUGCAAGUCGAGCGAGCGGCGGACGGGUGAGUAAUGUCUGGGAAACUGCCUGAUGGAGGGGGAUAAAUACUGGAAACGGUAGGUAAUACCGCAUACCAUCAGAUGUGCUCAGGUGGGAUUAGCUGGUAGGUGGGGUAAAGGCUCACCUAGGCGACGAACCCUAGCUGGUCUGAGAGGAUGACCAGCCACACUGGAACUGAGACACGGUCCAGACUCCUACGGGAGGCAGCAGUAGGGAAUAUUGCGCAAUGGGCGCAAGCCUGAUGCAGCCACGCCGCGUGUAUGAAGAAGGCCUUCGGGUUGUAAAGUACUUUCAGCGGGGAGGCGUUACCCGCAGAGGAAGCACCGGCUAACUCCGUGCCAGCAGCCGCGGUAAUAC
rnacentral:rRNA from 1 species